rnacentral:lncRNA from 1 species
CUUCCUGACAAGCUUGUGGCUCGUGGCAAGGAGGUGAUGAGAUCCAAAUGUGCAACCACCUCCACAUCAGAGCUCCCUUUCAUUCCUAGUCCUACUGGGCCUGGGUCUAGGUCCACAGGAUUUCUGACCCUUAUUUCCCCUUCUCUUCCCCACUCCCCUUACUCCUCCCACCUUCUUGCUUGUUCCUAGGUCUCAGACUUGAUCCGCAGUGGAAAACCCAUCAAGCCUGUCAAGGAUUUGCUAAAGAAGAACCAAAUGGAAAAUUGCCAGACAUUAGUGGAUAAGUUUAUGAAACUGGAUUUGGAAGAUCCUAACCUGGACUUGAACGUUUUCAUGAGCCAGGAAGUGCUGCCUGCUGCCACCAGCAUCCUCUGAGAGUCCUUCCAGUGUCCUCCCCAGCCUCCUGAGACUCCGGUGGGCUGCCAUGCCCUCUUUGUUUCCUUAUCUCCCUCAGACGCAGAGUUUUUAGUUUCUCUAGAAAUUUUGUUUCAUAUUAGGAAUAAAGUUUAUUUUGAAGAAA